GAUGAACGCUAGCUACAGGCUUAACACAUGCAAGUCGAGGGGCAGCGGGAUUGAAGCUUGCUUCAAUUGCCGGCGACCGGCGCACGGGUGAGUAACGCGUAUCCAACCUUCCGUACACUCAGGGAUAGCCUUUCGAAAGAAAGAUUAAUACCUGAUGGUAUGAUGAGAUUGCAUGAUAGCAUCAUUAAAGAUUUAUCGGUGUACGAUGGGGAUGCGUUCCAUUAGGUAGUAGGCGGGGUAACGGCCCACCUAGCCAACGAUGGAUAGGGGUUCUGAGAGGAAGGUCCCCCACAUUGGAACUGAGACACGGUCCAAACUCCUACGGGAGGCAGCAGUGAGGAAUAUUGGUCAAUGGACGAGAGUCUGAACCAGCCAAGUAGCGUGAAGGAUGAAGGUCCUACGGAUUGUAAACUUCUUUUANAAGGGAAUAAACCCUCCACGUGUGGGAGCUUGUAUGUACCUUAUGAAUAAGCAUCGGCUAACUCCGUGCCAGCAG
rnacentral:rRNA from 1 species